UCAGGACAAGCUGGCUCAAAUUAAAAAGCACAUAGGAAUGCUGCAAGAAGGCUCUCUGCCAGAAUUUCUGAAGCGGACCAAAAAAAUUGAGCUGCACUAUAGAGAAAGGCUCAGGCAAAAUGAAAUUAGCAAGUCAGUGGAGAUUGAGAGAGCUGAUAAAAACUAUCAAACUGAUUGUAACAAUGCUCAAAAAGAAUUUGAGGUGA
rnacentral:sRNA from 1 species